rnacentral:tRNA from 1 species
GGGGUUGUGGCUCAGUGGUAGAGUGCUCGCCUAGCAUGUGCAAGGACCUGGAUUUGAUCCUCAACACCACAUAAAAAUAAAUACAAUAAAGAUAUUGUGCCCAGGGCUGGGGAUGUGGCUCAAGUGGUAGCACGCUCGCCUGGCAUGCGAGCGGCCCGGGUUCGAUCCUCAACACCA